rnacentral:rRNA from 1 species
GAUGAACGCUGGCGGCGUGCCUAAUACAUGCAAGUCGAGCGAACGGACGAGAAGCUUGCUUUUCUGAUGUUAGCGGCGGACGGGUGAGUAACACGUGGAUAACCUACCUAUAAGACUGGGAUAACUUCGGGAAACCGGAGCUAAUACCGGAUAAUAUUUUGAACCGCAUGGUUCAAAAGUGAAAGACGGUCUUGCUGUCACUUAUAGAUGGAUCCGCGCUGCAUUAGCUAGUUGGUAAGGUAACGGCUUACCAAGGCAACGAUGCAUAGCCGACCUGAGAGGGUGAUCAGCCACACUGGAACUGAGACACGGUCCAGACUCCUACGGGAGGCAGCAGUAGGGAAUCUUCCGCAAUGGGCGAAAGCCUGACGGAGCAACGCCGCGUGAGUGAUGAAGGUCUUCGGAUCGUAAAGCUCUGUUAUUAGGGAAGAACAUAAGUGUAAGUAACUGUGGACAUCUUGACGGUACCUAAACAGAAAGCCACGGCUAACUACGUG